GGGAAUGUAGCUUAGUUGGUAGAGCGCUUGCCUAGCAUGCAAGAAGCCUUGGGUUCGAUUCCUCAGUACCA
rnacentral:tRNA from 1 species